rnacentral:tRNA from 1 species
GGAAGUGGAAAGCUCACUGGUGGGGCUCCCGGACUUCAAAUCCGGUGUGCCGUCUGAGAGGGCGGCAGGUGGGUUCGAUUCCCAUGCACUUCCGCCA